CAACCUGAACUCAGUCGUGAUUACCCGCUGAACUUAAGCAUAUCAUUUAGCGGAGGAAAAGAAACUAAAAAGGAUUCCCCUAGUAACGGCGAGUGAAACGGGAAGAGCCCAGCGCCGAAUCGAUCAGUCUUUGGCUGCUUCGAAAUGUGGCGUAUAGGUGUAGUCUUCCAGCAGUGUCGUAUGUCCGAAGUCCUUGCGAUUGAGGCCAUAAACCAGAGAGGGUGCGAGCCCCGUUCUGGAUAGCGGCGCUGUUGGUUCGACUGCUCCUUGGAUCGGGUUGCUUGAAAGUGCAGCCUAAAGUGGGUGAUAAACUUCAUCUAAGGCUAAAUAUUGACUCGAUUGCGAUAGCGAACAAGUACCGUGAGGGAAAGUUGCAAAGGACUUUGAAGAGAGAGUUCAAGAGAACGUGAAAUCGCUGGAGUGGAACCGGAGACAGUUGAUGUUGCUUGGAGACAAUCUUGGUGGCUGAUCGCUUAGCUGUGAUCGCCGCCGGGAGUCGUUUCCUAUGCUACGCCGACGGCGUUGGCCGCUCGUUCUGGCCCGACAGUGUUGCCCAUCUCGCAAGAGACGGUGUCUUGUUGUCGGUCGUUGGUUCGUGGUGGCUAGCGUUUAGUUACGCUAGUGUGUGUGACGUCGGUGUGAAAGUCGACGACGUUUCCGACCCCGUCUUGAAACACGGAUUACGGAGUGUUUGUCUGCUGCGAGUCAAAGGGUGUAAAAAACCUUGCGGCGCAAUGAAAGUGAAGGUUAGUCUCGAACUGACUCGACGUGGGAUCCGUGCUCUUUCGGAGUGCGGCCACCACGGCCCUAUGCGUGUCA
rnacentral:ncRNA from 1 species